AGCAGCCGCGGUAAUUCCAGCUCCAAUAGCGUAUAUUAAAGUUGUUGCAGUUAAAAAGCUCGUAGUUGAAUUUCGGGAUCAAUAUAUCGGUCGUGCCUUGGUACGUACUGGUAUCAUUGGUUUCUCCUUUCUGACGAACCAUGAUGUCAUUAAUUUGGUGUUAUGGGAAGUUAGGACUGUUACUUUGAAAAAAUUAGAGUGUUUAAAGCAGGCUUUAGCUUGAAUACAUUAGCAUGGAAUAAUGAAAUAGGACGUUCGAACCUAUUUUGUUGGUUUCUAGGAUCAACGUAAUGAUUAAUAGGGAUAGUUGGGGGCAUUAGUAUUCAAUUGUCAGAGGUGAAAUUCUUGGAUUUAUUGAAGACUAACUACUGCGAAAGCAUUUGCCAAGGAUGUUUUCAUUAAUCAAGAACGAAAGUUAGGGGAUCGAAGACGAUCAGAUACCGUCGUAGUCUUAACCACAAACUAUGCCGACUAGGGAUCGGAUGAUGUUAAUUUUUAAUGACUCAUUCGGCGCCUUACG
rnacentral:rRNA from 1 species